GUGGGGAAUCUUGCGCAAUGGGCGAAAGCCUGACGCAGCCAUGCCGCGUGAAUGAUGAAGGUCUUAGGAUUGUAAAAUUCUUUCACCGGGGACGAUAAUGACGGUACCCGGAGAAGAAGCCCCGGCUAACUUCGUGCCAGCAGCCGCGGUAAUACGAAGGGGGCUAGCGUUGCUCGGAAUUACUGGGCGUAAAGGGCGCGUAGGCGGAUCGUUAAGUCAGGGGGGAAAUCCCAGAGCUCAACUCUGGAACUGCCCUUGAUACUGGCGAGCUUGAGUGUGAGAGAGGUAUGUGGAACUCCGAGUGUAGAGGUGAAAUUCGUAGAUAUUCGGAAGAACACCAGUGGCGAAGGCGACAUACUGGCUCAUUACUGACGCUGAGGCGCGAAAGCGUGGGGAGCAAACAGGAUUAGAAACCCUAGUAGUCC
rnacentral:rRNA from 1 species